rnacentral:rRNA from 1 species
AACGAACGCUGGCGGCAGGCCUUAUACAUGCAAGUCGAGCGCACCUUCGGGUGAGCGGCGGACGGGUGAGUAACGCGUGGGAACAUACCCUUCUCUGCGGAAUAGCCUCUGGAAACGGAGAGUAAUACCGCAUACGCCCUUCGGGGGAAAGAUUUAUCGGAGAUGGAUUGGCCCGCGUUAGAUUAGGUAGUUGGUGGGGUAACGGCCUACCAAGCCUACGAUCUAUAGCUGGUUUGAGAGGAUGAUCAGCCACACUGGGACUGAGACACGGCCCAGACUCCUACGGGAGCAGCAGUAGGGAAUCUUAGACAAUGGGGAAACCCUGAUCUAGCCAUGCCGCGUGUGUGACGAAGGCCUUAGGGCUAAAGCACUUUCGCAGGGAUGAUAAUGACAGUACCUGGUAAA